rnacentral:rRNA from 1 species
AGUGAACGCUGGCGGUAGGCCUAACACAUGCAAGUCGAACGGCAGCACAGUAAGAGCUUGCUCUUACGGGUGGCGAGUGGCGGACGGGUGAGGAAUACAUCGGAAUCUACUUUUUCGUGGGGGAUAACGUAGGGAAACUUACGCUAAUACCGCAUACGACCUACGGGUGAAAGCAGGGGAUCUUCGGACCUUGCGCGAUUGAAUGAGCCGAUGUCGGAUUAGCUAGUUGGCGGGGUAAAGGCCCACCAAGGCGACGAUCCGUAGCUGGUCUGAGAGGAUGAUCAGCCACACUGGAACUGAGACACGGUCCAGACUCCUACGGGAGGCGGCAGUGGGGAAUAUUGGACAAUGGGCGCAAGCCUGAUCCAGCCAUACCGCGUGGGUGAAGAAGGCCUUCGGGUUGUAAAGCCCUUUUGUUAGGAAAGAAAAGCAGCAGGUUAAUACCCCGCUGUUCUGACGGUACCCAAAGAAUAAGCACCGGCUAACUUCGUG